rnacentral:rRNA from 1 species
AGGUAAGCUACUAAGAGCGAAUGGUGGAUGCCUUGACUGGUAAAGGCGAUGAAGGACGUACUAGACUGCGAUAAGCUACGGGGAGCUGUCAAGAAGCUUUGAUCCGUAGAUUUCCGAAUGGGGCAACCCAAUGUAUAGAGAUAUACAUUACCUAUAUAGGAGCGAACGAGGGGAAUUGAAACAUCUUAGUACCCUCAGGAAAAGAAAUCAAUAGAGAUUGCGUCAGUAGCGGCGAGCGAAAGCGCAAGAGGGCAAACCCAGUGCUUGCACUGGGGGUUGUAGGACUGCAAUAUGCAAGAGGUAAGUUUAGCAGAACAUUCUGGAAAGUAUAACCAUAGAGGGUGAUAGUCCCGUAUGCGAAAAACAAACCUUAGCUAGCAGUAUCCUGAGUAGGGCGGGACACGAGGAAUCCUGUCUGAAUCCGGGUCGACCACGAUCCAACCCUAAAUACUAAUACCAGAUCGAUAGUGCACAAGUACCGUGAGGGAAAGGUGAAAAGAACUGAGGUGAUCAGAGUGAAAUAGAACCUGAAACCAUUUGCUUACAAUCAUUCAGAGCCCUAUGUAGCAAUACAGGGUGAUGGACUGCCUUUUGCAUAAUGAGCCUGCGAGUUGUGGUGUCUGGCAAGGUUAAGCAAACGCGAAGCCGUAGCGAAAGCGAGUCUGAAUAGGGCGCUUAGUCAGAUGCUGCAGACCCGAAACGAAGUGAUCUAUCCAUGAGCAAGUUGAAGCUAGUGUAAGAACUAGUGGAGGACUGAACCCAUAGGCGUUGAAAAGCCCCGGGAUGACUUGUGGAUAGGGGUGAAAGGCCAAUCAAACUUCGUGAUAGCUGGUUCUCUCCGAAAUAUAUUUAGGUAUAGCGUUGUGUCGUAAUAUAAGGGGGUAGAGCACUGAAUGGGCUAGGGCAUACACCAAUGUACCAAACCCUAUCAAACUCCGAAUACCUUAUAUGUAAUCACAGCAGUCAGGCGGCGAGUGAUAAAAUCCGUCGUCAAGAGGGAAACAACCCAGACUACCAGCUAAGGUCCCUAAGUCUUACUUAAGUGGAAAACGAUGUGAAGUUACUUAAACAACCAGGAGGUUGGCUUAGAAGCAGCCAUCCUUUAAAGAAAGCGUAAUAGCUCACUGGUCUAGUGAUUUUGCGCGGAAAAUAUAACGGGGCUAAAGUAAGUACCGAAGCUGUAGACUUAGUUUACUAAGUGGUAGGAGAGCGUUCUAUUUGCGUCGAAGGUAUACCGGUAAGGAGUGCUGGAGCGAAUAGAAGUGAGCAUGCAGGCAUGAGUAGCGAUAAUUAAUGUGAGAAUCAUUAACGCCGUAAACCCAAGGUUUCCUACGCGAUGCUCGUCAUCGUAGGGUUAGUCGGGUCCUAAGUCGAGUCCGAAAGGGGUAGACGAUGGCAAAUUGGUUAAUAUUCCAAUACCAACAUUAGUGUGCGAUGGAAGGACGCUUAGGGCUAAGGGGGCUAGCGGAUGGAAGUGCUAGUCUAAGGUCGUAGGAGGUUAUACAGGCAAAUCCGUAUAACAAUACUCCGAGAACUGAAAGGCUUUUUGAAGUCUUCGGAUGGAUAGAAGAACCCCUGAUGCCGUCGAGCCAAGAAAAGUUUCUAAGUUUAGCUAAUGUUGCCCGUACCGUAAACCGACACAGGUGGGUGGGAUGAGUAUUCUAAGGCGCGUGGAAGAACUCUCUUUAAGGAACUCUGCAAAAUAGCACCGUAUCUUCGGUAUAAGGUGUGGUUAGCUUUGUAUUAGGAUUUACUCCGAAAG